rnacentral:rRNA from 1 species
AUUGAACGCUGGCGGCAGGCCUAACACAUGCAAGUCGAACGGUAACAGGAAGAAGCUUGCUUCUUUGCUGACGAGUGGCGGACGGGUGAGUAAUGUCUGGGAAACUGCCUGAUGGAGGGGGAUAACUACUGGAAACGGUAGCUAAUACCGCAUAACGUCGCAAGACCAAAGAGGGGGACCUUCGGGCCUUUUGCCAUCGGAUGUGCCCAGAUGGGAUUAGCUAGUAGGUGGGGUAACGGCUCACCUAGGCGACGAUCCCUAGCUGGUCUGAGAGGAUGACCAGCCACACUGGAACUGAGACACGGUCCAGACUCCUACGGGAGGCAGCAGUGGGGAAUAUUGCACAAUGGGCGCAAGCCUGAUGCAGCCAUGCCGCGUGUAUGAAGAAGGCCUUCGGGUUGUAAAGUACUUUCAGUGGGGAGGAAGGGAGUAAAGUUAAUACCUUUGCUCAUUGACGUUACCCGCAGAAGAAGCACCGGCUAACUCCGUG